UUAAAAACAAGCGCGUCCAUGCUCACAGGUGUACACACGGGUGAUCACACCCACAAACUACACCCUUUUUGGCUCCUACCUCAAAGCACACUGUGUUCUGUUGAUCUUAUGUGCUGCACAAUAAUGUUUAAUAUUUAGUAUUUACUGUCAUAUUCCCAUAUAUCAUUGUGAUGUUGUUUAUUCUAUUACUCUUGUUCUCUUCUGCUUGCUUUCUUUUUUCUUUCUCAGCAGGUGAUCCAGGUGAUUGAUAUAUGCAUUUUUUUUUCUCUGCCCGUUCUGUUGGUUUUUGUCUUUUGCCCUUCUCCCCCGUCCCUCUUCUCAGCCGUUUCUCUUUCCCUCUUUCUUUCUCCCCUUCUUUCCCCCAGUCAAGUCUGUCCCGUAUUCAGUAAGUGAAAAUAAAAUAAACAAUAAAAGGUGAAUCAAAUGGACCAUUACGGCAAGGCUGGGAUGGUCAGUUUGGUAAAGUAAAUCCGUUGGGCAUCUUUCUUUGCCUUUAGAAAACAAUUCUGAUGCAAAAGAGCCAAACAGGACAGGCAAAAAAAAAAAAAAAAAAAAAAAAAAAAAAGAUCGAUCAGUUGUUUACAUCACUCAACACAAGCAGAACUGCAUCACUGCAGCAGAAGACACAUCGUCCACAUUUAGAAGCACAUCUCUGUGUAGUGACUGGUCUCAUGAUUUAAGCAGGCAAAUGUUCAGCAUUCAAACUACAGGUGAAGAACAGUCAAACCAGAUGUUUCCCUGCUAUGUCGAUAUCAGCUAGUCAAGUACACACCUACACAGCAUGUUAACAAACCGUGAAAAAGGCCACACAAAAAUGAAUGAUUGCUGGUAACGGUUUCUAUACAUUAGUAUUUACGAAGGGUAUGUUGUGACUUACCUUCAAAAUUACAGCUGUCCCUCGCUAUAACGCGGUUCACCUUUCACUUCGCUGUUUUUUAGUGCAAGUUUGCACGUUUUUUUUACAUCACAUUGUGUCCUGCGUCCUGAUCGCUGCAGACGAUCUCCUCCGUG
ensembl:lncRNA